UACAGAGGUCCCGAGCGUUGUUCGGAUUCAUUGGGCGUAAAGGGUGCGUAGGCGGUCUGCUAAGUUUGAUGUGAAAUCCCGGGGCUCAACCCUGGAAUGGCAUUGAAUACUGGCGGACUAGAGUACCGGAGAGGAAACUGGAAUUCCACGUGUAGCAGUGAAAUGCGUAGAGAUGUGGAGGAACACCGAUGGCGAAGGCAGCCUCCUGGGCCAGCACUGACGCUCAUGCACGAAAGCGUGGGGAGCAAACAGG
rnacentral:rRNA from 1 species